UAUUCCCUCAACUAAAAAUAAAUCCCUUCAGAAUGUUUAGUUUGAAUAUCCAGGCAUGGAAAGGCCUAGUAUUACUUUGAUUUUAUAGCGAAUAAUAUUAAAAAAAAAAAAAAAACGGAUUAACCACUGGUAGCAAAGAUAAGUCUUCUGAAUGAACACUGAGGUGGGGGGGGGGCAAUGGAAAACAUCUGGGAGAAAAAUGCAUAAGAGGUGAUGGAAAAGUAAGAGAAGAAGAAAUAAAAAAAGAGAAAAUGGACAAGAGAAAGAAAUAAAGAGAUAAAUAGCUAGAGAAGAAGAAGGAUAAAGAGAAGGAAGUUACAGGGAAGUGAAAUGAAAAGAAAAAAGAAAGAAUUAAAAAUGAGGAGACUUCCAUUAUAAAACUAGUAAGUCAUGGGACAUAAUGUACAACAUGGCGACCAUAGUUAAUAAUCCCAGGUUGCAUAUUUUAAAGUUCCUAAGAGAGUAGCUCUUAAAAGUUCUCAUCACAAGA